rnacentral:rRNA from 1 species
GACAGAGGAUGCAAGCGUUAUCCGGAAUGAUUGGGCGUAAAGAGCUCGUAGGCGGCUUGUCGCGUCGAAUGUGAAAUCUCGGGGCUCAACUCCGAGCUUGCAUUCGAUACGGGCAGGCUAGAGUUCGGUAGGGGAGACUGGAAUUCCUGGUGUAGCGGUGAAAUGCGCAGAUAUCAGGAGGAACACCGGUGGCGAAGGCGGGUCUCUGGGCAUUAACUGACGCUGAGGAGCGAAAGCAUGGGGAGCGAACAGG